rnacentral:rRNA from 1 species
CCUACGGGUGGCAGCAGUGGGGAAUAUUGCACAAUGGGCGGAAGCCUGAUGCAGCAACGCCGCGUGAGUGAUGAAGGCCUUCGGGUCGUAAAGCUCUGUCCUCAAGGAAGAUAAUGACGGUACUUGGGGAGGAAGCCCCGGCUAACUACGUGCCAGCAGCCGCGGUAAUACGUAGGGGGCUAGCGUUAUCCGGAUUUACUGGGCGUAAAGGGGGCGUAGGUGGUUUCGUAAGUCAGAGGUGAAAGGCUAGGGCUCAACCGUAGAAAGCCUUUGAAACUGGGAGGCUUGAGUGCAGGAGAGGCAAGCGGAAUUCCUAGUGUAGCGGUGAAAUGCGUAGAUAUUAGGAGGAACACCGGUGGCGAAGGCGGCCCUCUGGACUGUAACUGACGCUGAGGCACGAAAGCGUGGGGAGCAAACAGGAUUAGAUACCCUGGUAGUC